UAUCAGAAGUUGGAUUCGAACCCACGCCUACAAGAGUAGAUUGCGACCUGAACGCAGCGCCUAAGACCGCUCGACCAUCCUGAC